rnacentral:rRNA from 1 species
CCCCUUAUGACCUGGGCUACACACGUGCUACAAUGGUUGGUACAACGAGUUGCGAGUCGGUGACGGCGAAGCUAAUACUCCUUAAAGCCAAUCUCAGUUCGGAUUGUAGGCUGCAACUCGCCUACAUGAAGUCGGAAUCGCUAGUAAUCGCGGAUCCGCACGCCGCGGUGAAUACGUUCCCGGGCCUU